UGAGGAGGUAGAAUCGCUUGAACCCAGGAGGCAGAGGUUGCCGUGAGCCAAGAUCGCGCCACGGCACUCCAGCCUGGGUGACAGAGUGAGACUCCAUUUCAACAACAACAACAACAACAACAACAACAACAACAACAACAACAACAACAACAACAGUCCUUUCUCCAGAGCAGACAAGCCCCAGUGAGAGGAAUCCAGUUGCCCUGGCAAACAGACCUGGCUGGAAGGGCUGGAACACACGCUCGCCUGCGUCCCAAAGGGAAACCCAGCUCCAGCCUUGGUGUGUACCUGGAAUGGGGUGGUCUUUGACCUUGAAGUGCCACAGAAGGGAACCCAGAACCACACUGGAACCUACUGCUGCACAGCCACUAACCAGCUGGGCUCUGUCAGCAAAGACAUUGCUGUCAUUGUUCAAGGACUGGAUGAAGGAGUCAGCUCUACCCUCUUUGUCAUUAUUACCGUUGCCCUUGGAGUGGGUGUCUUCACCAUAGCACUGUGUUUCAGCUAUCGGCCCUGCAACGUGGACAGGAG